UCGCGCGCAAGCGCCACCCUCCGGGAGCUGGAACCCAACCUGCGGGCGCCGUCGCUCAGCCCCGCUCGAGCUCCCUCGCCUGUCAAGAGGACAGCCCUACCCACUCGCUGGACUGUCUCGGCGUGGUCCUGGGUGCCCCGGCCUGUGCCCCCCGCCCCCGACGGCUCGUAACCUGGAAAGUGCCAAGAUCCUUAGGGUGGCCAGGCGACGCCGAUGCGCCCGGUGGGAUUCAAAGCGCUCCCUGAGCGAGACCGGACCCCUAAAUGGCUGAGCGAGCUUCCAUGGGCUCCCCCACCCCCAGAGAGUGGCGACCUCGGGCUUGCCCUACGGGGGCAGCAGGGAGAGCGCCAUCCCGCGGUGGGCGCGCGCCAGCCUUCCUGGAUCACCAACCCAAGAUCUUCAAUGGCAAGAUGAAUCCCAAAGGGUCUCAGCACCAUCCAGUGACUCAAGACCCCAGACUCAAAUGCUAUCUGCUGGAGAUGGAGGAAGAACAUAGGAUCAAAGCAAACGGAAGCUGAGAAAAAAAGAUUCUCGGGAAACACUUCAGAUGCAGGACCUUGUAUCGGGAUACGUGAAAAACUCCUAUGACUGGAGAGUGGGAAAUCAUCCAGCCAAUGAAAAUGCACGAAGGGUCUGAACAGAUGCCUACCCAGAGAAGAUACCUGUGAGUGGCAAAUCAACAGCCUCACUGUUGCCUGAGGUACCAGCGGGCUUUGCCCCUCCUUCAGCUACCACAGUGCGGCCCCUGCUGUGCUGCCAUGGCCACUCUGUAAGCAGAGAGCCCAUCCUAAAGCUUGCUUUCUAGCUCCUGUUGACGGUAAAGAACUGGGGCGCUCAGUGGCCGUGACCAGAUCCCAGGCAAGGCUGUCAGCCCCACAGGACCACCUGUGUCCUCUUGUUGGACCCCGGAAUUCCCCUUUACCACAUCCUGAGGCCCAGGCUCCUCUAUGUUCUUUUGAUGGUGCUCUUGCCAAGGAACGCGUGGGACAGGACAGCUGUCUGGUGUCGAUGCCUGUCCACAGUUCAGGGUGUCAGAUUCCGGACUCAGUCUCAUGAGGGUCAUGUCUAAACCGCCACCAAGGAGACCUGUGGAAAGUCCUUAGGUGCUGGGAAUUCCCUCUGCAGAAUCUGGCCUGAUGGACAUGCAGUUCUAUAAAUGUUCAUGUUUGUCUCCUUAUCUUUUUGUGUUGUUUAUUAAAGUAUUGAUAUAGUUUUAGUAACUAUUUUUAGGUUGCAAAACUUAAUUCUUCAUCUUUAUAUGAUUAAACUCAAAAUCUUUGAUGUGGAAGAAAUAAA